AUUAGAACUACACUCACAAUACCACAUCCAGGUUCAUAGAAGGGGAUUAAAAAUGUGAGUGAUGCUCAUGAGCUCACCUGUUGGAACAACCCAGCAUGUGUCUCCCUUUUCCUGACUUUUGAUUCCACAUAAAUACUUUUCAAUUCUGCAACAUGGUUUAAACUAACAGCAAACAAACUGCCAAUCCUAUUCCUUGGCACCUUUGCCCUCAAAUUGGAUAGAAUGGGUAUGUAUGUCCUCCCAAGGACAUACCUCAUUCCAAGGACAACAUGCUAAAGAGAAGCAGUGCUUUGAUAACAGGACAGAGCUAGAAGCAGGCUUCAGGCUCCACGUCCUGACCCAGGCAGGGCAGGCCUGAGUGUUGUCAUAGCCAUCUGUUGCAGCCUGUAAUGCAUGAGCACAUUAGCACAUGGCUCGCCAGCAGCCUCAACAUUGUUCUCCUGGCUCAGCACAGCCACUCAACAAAGGGACAGUUUUGCAAUUGGGAUAAAUACAACCACUGAGGACUUUUUUUUGUUUAUUUUAGGAUACUUUAUGUUAAGGUUUAUACUUGCUGUUUGAAUUGGACAUUUGUGGCCACCCUCCUACCUACUUCAAUAUUGUUCUUAUUCUGUUUGUGAUGUUGACACGGAUGGUUUGUGGGAGCCACUAAUUUGCCAGGAGACAUCUUUCCUCUUUCAGAUAUGAUCCUCAUCAGAAAGAUUUAUCCAACUGAACAUUUGUCUCUUCAUUUUCUUAAUCUCAAUCCUUUUGCUUCCCAAAAGAUCAGAACAAAUUGUCCAACUAGGAAGCCAUGUCACCUUAAGGUCAGUGUCACAUCCCAAGGUCUACAUCCUUUCUGUGCCCAAAGCCUACCCAGCAGAUGUGGGGGGGAGGCAGCUUUUGUUCCCCAGGGAGAACAUCAUAACUUAAGCUUUAGUAAAUUUGUUGAUCCCUAACAGAAUAUUUCAAAAAAUUCCUUCUUUGCUCCCAGGACCAUUACAAGACCAGCCUCCAAGACUCAGGAGAUUUAAAAAACAGUCUUGGCAGAGAGAACAUAGUUGGAUGAUGCACUUUUCAUGGGAUAAAAUUUUGCCUGAUUUCCUCAUGUAGGAGUUCCAGUGAAGCUUUAUGCCUUCUCUGUUCUUGCUCAGAAGCAAAAACCAUCUGUAUACACCCAUUUAUUCAUUCAAUUAAUAUUUAUUGGGCACCAACUAUGUGCUUGACUCUUCUACAUCACUAAUCAAGAUGGGCAAAGAUCUCUGCCUAAUAGAGCUUAAGUUCUAGUGGGGAAGAGAGUAAUAGUAAUAGGAGUAGUAGUGAUAAUAAUAAUAACAAUAUAAUAAUAAUAAUAUGUCAUAGAAACAAGAAAAGUAGAACAGGGAGGGGAAUGAAAAAUCUCAGGCUAAGUUUGGAGUAUUGAAAAGGAAGACAUGGGGGCUGGGGAUGUGGCUCAAGUGGUAGCGCGCUCGCCUGGCAUGCGUGCAGCCCAGGUUCGAUCCUCAGCACCACAUACAAACAAAGAUGUUGUGUC
rnacentral:lncRNA from 1 species